rnacentral:tRNA from 1 species
AUUUAUAUAGUAUAAAAAUUAUUUUUAACUUCCAAUUAAAAGAUCUACUUAUUUAGUAUAAAUA